rnacentral:misc_RNA from 1 species
GGACUGGACCCACCGGCAGCCGCUGCAAAAUCCCUGUCGCCACGGGCAUCAUAAUCACCGCCGCCGCAACGUUGUGCAUCCACAUGCUGACAAAUGCUGUGGUGCCGCAUAUUCCAAGGAGGAGAAGUGGUGGUUUUACAGGAUCUCCGCAGAACAGAUGGGUUAUGUUUAAGGCCAAUCUCUUGUGUAUAUUAUAAUGCUCAACAGCAAGAGCCAGGAUAAAGCUUCCAAGAACAAGAGCAAUCACAUCAUCCAUAUAAGAUUUAGCAACGUUAUCAGCAGAAGCAAUUCCGAAGAAUGGAAACAGAAACAGAGGUGCCAUCGAAGUGAUCGGCAUAGGCACAGCCUCCGUGAGCCACCAAGAGAACAUCCACGCAAGAAUGGCUAACAUGUUCCUGCUAUUCACCGGAGCAUCU